CUUCAAGGAACCAUUAACAUAUCUUUAAGCAAUGCUUCUUAAACAGGGAAUCAAGGAUAUGAAUGUGGAAAUCUAGGUUGAUGCUACCUUUCCAGCAGAUAAGAGGUCCCUUCGACAGUACACCCUGGGAGCUUCUGACUAGCCGAUACAGUUUCCAGAAAACCCUGAAAGAAGGAAAAUCAAAGUUACUGCUGGACUUGUGAAAAGCAAGAGAGCGUGAGAGGAAGAAAAGCAAAGCAGCUGGACAAUCUUCAGUUACCGAAGUGGCACAUUAAUGAUGAGAAUUAAUAAUAUUAAAGAGAUAGAAUGCUACAGCUCAUUUUUAAAACUCUCUAUGGUUUCAGUAUUAACCUUAGUUCAAGAGAGAUUUUAUCUGCUCAAAUUUCUUGUUGUCAUUGUCAGAAAAAAUUGUGCUUCUUAGAGCCAAAUUACAUUUCUAGUCUUCCAAGUGCAUGGUAGAUUUGGGACACAUGAAUGAACUGCCAAUAUAUUUUGAAGAUUUUAUUUCUUUUAUUUGAGAGAGAGAUGGAGAGCCCAGAAGGAGAGUAAGAAGGCGAAGUAGACUCCCUGCUGAGCAGAGAGCCUGAUGUGGAACUUGAUCCCAAAACCGUGAGAUCGUGACCUGAGCCAAAGGCAGAUGCUUAACUGAGUGAGCCACCCAGGCGCCCCUGGAUCAAUAUAUAUUUAAUUGAUUCCCCCACGGUCUUUUGAAUCUGUACAAUUUAUAUAAAAAGUUAGACAAAUUGAUAUUGGAAUCCACCGGGAUGCAAGUAUAUUUGAAGCUUAACAUUUUUUCCCACUAUAUCUUAAUGCAUACUGAAAUAAUUUAUCAUCAGUAAGAAUGUUGGAUGGAUAUUAACUUUUAGACAACAGAGAUUGAAUAUAUAAAAAUCUCAACAAUGUACUUAUCUAAGAGAAAACUUCAACCCUUGUGUUGCACUAUACUUUCAAUUUGGGAAGUAGUUAGUAAAAAAUUAUGUCCAUUCACAAGGCUAGAGAAAGUAAGCAAAAUUCCAUUUCUAUAAGGGUAUGAGUAAAUAUGACACAGUUGCAGAAUAACUACCAUAUAAAGAACAAGUGUUCCGUUCUCAGCACUAUGGUGGAUGUGUGCCUUAUAAACAUCACUAUUUAAUCUUUAUAACCCUGCAAGGUAGGCAUCAUUGGCCUCGUUCUAUAGAUGAAGAGUCUGAGACCUCAAGAGGAUAAGAAGCCUGUCCCAGUUCUGAAAGUACUAAGUGGUAAACCCAGCAUUUUACCCUUGGUUCCAACUCCCAAUACUCAUGGUCUUCGAUCUCAUAUACCUGCUUAUCUAUAAUUAUGAAACCUAUUAUUCUGAUAAUGUUUGUUGUGUCCUUUCUAUGACACAUUCUAGGAGGAUUCCUCUGGUCAUGAAGAAUCACUAAGCAAGAAGGCAUCAUGAGUGAUUUUUCUAUUUGUGGUCAGACCCACAUGUUAAAUAUUCCAUUUGAUGACACUGUGAUGCUUGUAUAUUUUUUAAGUCUAUUUAUUUUUAGUAAUCUCUACACCCAACAUGGGACUCAAACACACAAGCCUGAGAUCAAGAGUGGCAUGCUCUUCUAAAUGAGCCAGCUCCCUGAUGCUAUGAUGCUUUUAAAAUGCUAAAAGGAAGUUUCCCAAAAUUGUUAGACCACAACCCAACUGGGUUACUAGUUCUGUGUCUUAUCAUUUUUGUGUCCCCACAUCACAGCUUAGCAUGAUUUUGUCACACAGUACAUUUGGAACACACAGUGUUGGAUAAAUGUGUGAACAACUGAAGACUUGGGAACUUCUUUGCUAAUGUAUAAACCACCAUUAGACUUCCAUGUUAAACCAUCUGGUCGAAACCACUAAAAGAAAAGAAAAUUAACAUGUUUUUAUGAAAGCCUUAUGGAAAGCAUCACUUCUUUUCCUAUGCACCAAGAGAAGACUUUCAAUUAUAAUGUAAGGAACCUUUAUAAAGCAUGGACAAGGUUACUUUCUGACUCAAGAUACUGAUGUACGUAUUUCUAAACUUCCGAUAAUACUGUAUAACUAGGAAAAAUGCAUCAAACUAAACAAGCACAGCUUAGAACUGACACAAUUCUUGGGGCACCUGGGUGGCUCCGUGGGUUAAAGCCUCUGCCUUCGGCUCAGGUCGUGAUCUCAUGGUCCUGGGAUAGAUCGA